GUUUUAUUGAUAAUAAAUAUAUUAACGAAACUACUACUAAUACAACCGACAAUAAUGAAAAAAACAACAAUAACAAUAAUAAUAGUAAUAAUAAUAAAGAUGACAAUGAUAAUAACGCUAAUGUAAAUGAAGCACAAUAUAAAGAAGCAGCGCCUACAGCGGAGCGUUUAGCCAAACUCGACAACUUUCCUUUCGAGCUGAGAAAUGCUUUAUUAUUAGUAAUGGAAAAGUGCUUAUCUCUUCCUGAAGCCAAAAAAAACGUUUUUCCUUCGAGUCUUGUGCCUUUUACUUUUAAUUCUCUGCAGUUGGCUGAAAAAUUCGGCCAACAAUAUGUUUCCUCCGCCGUUUCUUUACUAGCAGAGCUUAUUGGGGUUACUAGACUCACAAUAAAAAGGAAAAAUGCUUUUUAUAAAAACGAGAAACUUUUAUUAGAAGUAUUAAAAGAGUUUGAAUGUAG